UACGUAGGGGGCUAGCGUUAUCCGGAAUUACUGGGCGUAAAGGGUGCGUAGGUGGUUUCUUAAGUCAGAGGUGAAAGGCUACGGCUCAACCGUAGUAAGCCUUUGAAACUGAGAAACUUGAGUGCAGGAGAGGAGAGUAGAAUUCCUAGUGUAGCGGUGAAAUGCGUAGAUAUUAGGAGGAAUACCAGUUGCGAAGGCGGCUCUCUGGACUGUAACUGACACUGAGGCACGAAAAGCGUGGGGAGGCAAAACAGG
rnacentral:rRNA from 1 species